rnacentral:rRNA from 1 species
AUUGAACGCUGGCGGCAGGCCUAACACAUGCAAGUCGAGCGGAUGAAGGGAGCUUGCUCCUGGAUUCAGCGGCGGACGGGUGAGUAAUGCCUAGGAAUCUGCCUGGUAGUGGGGGAUAACGUCCGGAAACGGGCGCUAAUACCGCAUACGUCCUGAGGGAGAAAGUGGGGGAUCUUCGGACCUCACGCUAUCAGAUGAGCCUAGGUCGGAUUAGCUAGUUGGUGGGGUAAAGGCCUACCAAGGCGACGAUCCGUAACUGGUCUGAGAGGAUGAUCAGUCACACUGGAACUGGGACACGGUCCAGACCCCGACGGGAGGCAGCAGGGGGGAAUUUUGGAAAAUGGGCGAAAGCCUGAUCCAGCCAUGCCGGGGGUGUGAAGAAGGUCUUCGGAUUGUAAAGCACUUUAAGUUGGGGGGAAGGGCAGUAAGUUAAUCCCUUGCUGUUUUGACGUUACCAACAAAAUAAGCACCGGCAAACUUCGG